UACGUAGGUGGCGAGCGUUGUCCGGAUUUACUGGGCGUAAAGAGCGCGCAGGCGGUCGGGCAAGUCGGAUGUGAAAGCCCCCGGCUCAACUGGGGAGGGUCAUUCGAUACUGCUCGACUUGAAGGCGGGAGAGGGAAGCGGAAUUCCCGGUGUAGUGGUGAAAUGCGUAGAUAUCGGGAGGAACACCAGUGGCGAAGGCGGCUUCCUGGCCCGUUCUUGACGCUGAGGCGCGAAAGCUAGGGGAGCAAACGGG
rnacentral:rRNA from 1 species